CCAGGAUUCCGUUGAGCUGGCUUUCUCUUUCGUGUAUUGCCUAGUGAUGUCAUAGAUCAACUCCGACUCCGUCAGUCGCUCCUAUCUAGAUAAAGCAAUUGUUCCAAUUUAUGAGUAGUAAAAGCACAGUAUCAUGAUAUACUUGCAAUAUAUUUGGACCCUGCGGACAGUUUUCGCUUGCUACAUUAAAGUACAGCUUUCCAUACAAGGUUUAUUUUACGUAUCCGUUACCUUAAACCAGCCGCACGAACGAUUCAUCCCUGCACCCACUGCAAAGAUAGUCGUCCGCAUCCGACACCCCGCAGCACUGCCGGUGCAUCAGCUGGC